CAGAAUCCACUAGGUUUAGCAGAGACAACCUUUCCACUCUUUGGUCUUAUUUCAGGUCCUGUUGUUGGUUAACAUUUUAGGUCCUGUUGUUGGUUAACAUUUUUGUAAAUGUGAACAUUGCUGAGUGUUGCCAGCUGGCAGCCAGAUGCCUCUUUCAGGCUAGCCCUUCAGUCUGGCUGAGUGACACUUGUGUGGGCAGAGCCCCACCCCUCCAGGUUUUGGGCUGCCUGGUGGGUUGGGGAAGGGUGAAGAGGUUUGGAGGGAGGUGAUUCUGUCAGCUGUGUGGGCUGGGAGGGCUGGCAGGCCUGUGUUCCCUCUGCCUGGCCUGCCACGGGAGGGCAGGAAGUCUCAGGAAGGCUGUUGGUGCUGUGGUGAACGUGGGAAGCUGUUUCCUGACCAACUCUCCCUGCUCCAACAUGUUUUCUGGUUGUCCCUGCCACAGCUGUAACUCUCUGCAGACCACUGCUUUCUGGAGCUCAAUAAUGAAAGGAUAACUCUCUGGAAGUGGAGAUGAGAAAAGCCAGGGAGCCUCAAGCCCACCCCUCUGUCACUCCUGUGACUUCUCACUCCUCCCAUUCUUGCUGUGUGGCAUUUUCUGCCCUUGUGGCAGCCUAAAGAAGCAGCAAGGCCAUUCUACCCUGCCUGAGGGGGUUGCACAGAGCAGGAUGCCACCUGCAAGGCUGGCACUGCCAUCUGCACCUGUUUCUUUUACGGUGACAAAAAGUGGCAACAUCAAAGCAGAAGACACAGCUCUCCUUUGGAGCCUGACAGCUGGCUAAUCAUCCAGUUUCUUUUAGUGCAGUCCCACUGGACAUCCAGCAAAGACUCACAUGCUUUAGGCUCUGUCCACUCCCCUCAGCACCGUGCCCUUUCCAAAGCAAAUGUGUUUACAGAAAGCACUCAGGCAUCACAAACCAACCAACUCCACCUUCCAAGCAAGCUGCAAGGUAGGAUUGCUGCAAGGUAGGAUUGCUGCAAGGUAGGAUUGCUGCAAGGUAGGAUUCUGCACACUUUUCUCCUUUAAAACACGUGCAGCUGAUUUCCCUCCCAAGCAGUGGCAGCGCUCUCAGAUGUGACAGCUGAGACUCUGGUGCUGGGCUGGCUGCACACAACACACAGUUGGGGACAUUGUGCUGCUCAGGUGACACUGGCACCCUGCUGGCAUGUGAUCUGUGUCCCUCAGCUGCCAGACAUACCACACUUUGUGAGACUGUGUCUAUAGCAAGGUCAAGUGCAACUGAAUCCAUCAGUGGGGAAUUUACUGGUGAAUGGAAGGUGACUUAGACAGAAAUGAAUUUUCAGGAUUUGGAAGGAAGGGAAGAGAGAAAAAAACAUUUUAGAGGGAGCUGCUGAAACAGACACAGUUGUUUACUUGCUAUAAAAUUAAAUUUUACUUCUCUAAAUAUGAGAAAGGUACUCCCAAUGAGGAAUUUAAAACUCCUGAAAAGGAUGUUUAUGAUCAAGUGCUUUACUUCUGAAAAAUUGGCAAAUAAGUUCAUUAUUAAAGAUUCACACUAAAAUA